rfam:Virgibacillus massiliensis genome assembly, contig: 000003
AAAUUAAUCAGACAUGCCGUUCGUAUAUCCUCGAUAAUAUGGGUCGAAAGUUUCUACCGGAGCACCGUAAAUGCUCUGACUAUGAAGGCAGAAGAUCAGUAU